ensembl:lncRNA
CUCUCUCUCUCCAUCUAACCUAAAAAAGUACCAUUAUUGUAAACUUGGGUAAGAAGGCUAAGAGCUCUUUCUGAAAGGUAUGUAGACAACAGUGCUCUUAACAUAGAAAAUAUUUUUUAAGAAUGUCUCAAAACAACGAAACGUCCAUAUUUAAUUUGUUUAAAAGACAUAAAGAAUGUGGAAACAUUACUGGGGAAUUUCUGAUUACAGAGAAGUAUGAUAACAUAGGGCGAGUAUGACCGGGUAGAUUACUGUUUCAUUUUACAAUCAGAGGUUAUAUUCUCAGUGGUUAGACUUGACAGUCAUCCAGUAGUCUCCUAAUUAUCCAUAAUUUCUCAUCCUUUGAAACUGUUCAGGAUAUGAAGGACAUUACUGGAUUUUAAAAUGUAAUGUUUUUUAAAUGUAUAAUACCAUUUGCAACAGGGAAAUUCGAAGGGGGAAAUUGUUAGAGAGGUUAAUACACAAAAGCAAAAGCAUAUAUGAAAGAAAAUUCCCUGUGCUGUGCAAGCAUGAUUCCUCCAUCCCGUUAAGACUGUAAACAACCAUGGAGAGAGAAGCUUGCUAAUCCAGUGAGCGUGGGCUCUACAAAACACAUGUGCUUUCAGUACGUUUUGUGUGUGGUGGAUCUGCCCUUGAGGUUCCUGUUUUCUGUAGGUGACCCAGUGUGCUGGGUUAGUUUCUGAAUUUGCCUCCCUUACUUAGAACACAACUAGAAUCUGUUUGGGAGAAAUUAAUGUUUCGUAUGUGAAAUGUUUUCAGGAAGCAGGGUGACUAACUGGCUACCUCUUUAUGAGGGUAAUGGCAGCUCUUACCUUUCUGAGCAAGCUGAGCUGAGAUACAGAAUUGUUUGUUAAUUUAAGAUGGACUUUCACAUUCACACAUUUCACAUGUAUGGCACAUGCAUUGAACAUACAUAAUGGCCUUUCUGUUUUCCCAAACUAAUUUAUUUAACAGUUUCUCUAACAAUCUCUCUCCUUUGUGUACAGUUCUUGAGAGAAGCUGAAGUACUGGUCUAGAGAGACGGCUCAGUGCCCUUGUUUAUGCUGUGGUCAUCUCAUUGAAAAGGUUACAUGGAAGGCACAGUGGGGGUGGGGGAUAGCUGAUCCAUGGGAUGCCCCUCUUUUCCUUUAGGCCAUAUCCUGUACCCACACCCGGUGUCCAGGCUCGGUGGUACAGAUACAGCCCUUCCCUUUGGGGAAUGCCUAGGUCUGUGCUCUAAUGCACAUCAUCUGGACCCCAUGAGUAGAGUUCUUCCCCUCCUAGACAUGUACUGGGGAUUCUUUUCAAGACAUUAACUUGUUUAGAGGCUUGUCUAAACAAACUAUAGCUUGGGAAUACUACUGAUGUUUAAAGGUUUGGGUUUUUUUUUUUAAAGUUUUUAAGUUUUAUAUUUUUUGAGAUAGUCUCACUUUGUAGCCCAGAUUGGCUUUGAGCUUGUGAUCCUUCUGUCUCAGCCUAUCAGGUACCAGGAUUGCAGGUGUGUACCACUGUGCAUGGCUCCUCCUUUUUAAGUCAAAAUGUUUACGUUUCAUCACUGAAAGUGGUUGGGAUAGAAUAGUUUUAAAGUUUCCUUCCUAGAAAGAAAAAUACUCUUGUCUGCAUAUAGUGUUGAUGAUAGUAGAUGUGUUUUCCAUGAAGAAAUUUAGAAACACCCUCACUCUUUGCCUGUACUCACCUUUACUCUUGAGCUCUACCUGUUGGAUGGACAAACAGGAAGCUCCCCUCAUGCUCAUGGUCGCCCUAUGAUCUGGCAGAACAUUCACCCAAAGUUCUAGCCUAAGUAUUAGCCCCGCCUUAAGAUGUCCCAGGAGCAGCUUGUUUAUACGCUACCAUGGCGUUGUGUAAGUAGGAUCCAGCACCUACUAAGAAGCUAUCUUUGUCAGCCCACUGAUGAACCAUUUAGCUAAACCACACUGUAACUCUUUUUUAAGCUAAAUGAUAUCUCAGUGCCUUGAAAGUUAAGAACCUAAGGGAGGGCUGGGGUUUGGCACCAAUGAGCUGGCUCUGUGCACUUCACCUACAGAAAGAUUCCAGAGCUUAAGGUGAGCCACUGAGACAAGUCCAGCUACUUAACUUUCUACAGUUCCAGUUCCAUAGAAGUUAGCCACUGUGACAGAUGACAACUGCUUUUACCACCCUUCACCACACGGGGGCAUUCUCCUCUUUCUCUUUUUUUUUCUUUCUUUUUUUCCAAGUAAGUAUGAAAUUAGAAAACUGUAGUCAAACAAAUUAAAUGUGGGAUUUUAAAGUUGAGUUUUAUGAUGUGUAUUGCAUGUUUACAUAAAACAAUUUCAUUUUGAAGGAUUAUUUAAACUGUGUUUAUAUGUAAUACCUAACAGGUUGUAAAUAUUGUAUACUAUUGAUUUUUAAUUUUAUAUGAGCAAUUUUUUUAUUUCCCAAGUCAUGUACAAAUCUCAUUGUGUAUAUAGCAUAACUCCCUGGAGACACAAAUUUUGCAGUGAAUUUUAAGUAUUUUAAUCGCAGUAAGCAUCAGGUUAGCCUCAGAGAUGCUGGUCCUUAUUUUAAAUUAUUUUUCACCACACAUUUUCUUCAAAGGGCAGCAAUAAACAUAUGCAAGUUACUUUGAUUCUUGAAAGUUGGCCUCAGAAGAUAAGAAUGCAGUUCAGUUCACUGCUGUAAAGGGAGACGCACAACUUACACCAUCUGCGUCUGGUCCCAGGACAACUUCCGAGAUCCAUCUGCACAUGGCUCUCCUCUUUGUAAUAUACAGGGUGAACUGCUGAAAACACACAGAAUAUAUGUUAAAGUGAGUCCAGCACUUCAAUGUCAUUACACAGAAUUUAUUGGAUUAAAGUUUGUAAUAUACAGUAUUUUAAUAAAGUUUCUGUAUUCAAUUUCAUGCACUUAUAUAUAAAUAAACCUGUCUUUAAAAACUUUAUACAGUGAUGAACUCUUGGCUUGUUUCCAUUCUGUCUCU